AUUGAACGCUGGCGGCAGGCCUAACACAUGCAAGUCGAACGAGUGGCGGACGGGUGAGUAAUGCCUGGGCCACUUCCCGCUGGAGGGGGACAACAACUGGAAACUGUAGCCAAAUACGCCUACCAUCGUCUGUGCCUAGAUGGGAUUAGCUAGGGGGGGGGGUAAACGCUCACCAAGGCGACGAUCCCUAUCUGGUUGGAGAGGAUGACCAGCCACACUGGAACUGAGACACGGUCCAGACUCCGACGGGAGGCAGCAGUGGGGAAUGUUGCACAAUGGGCGCAAGCCUGAUGCAGCCAUGCCGCGUGUAGGAGGAAGGCCUUCGGGUUGUAAAGUACUUUAAGCGGGGAGGCGGUACCCGCAGAAGAAGCACCGGCUAACUACGUGCCAGCAGCCGCGGUAAUAC
rnacentral:rRNA from 1 species